AGCCGCACACGCUCCUCUCACGUCAUCGCCUCACAUCUCCCCACAGCACCGCUAAUGACUUUCUCGUUAAUUGCUGUCCGCCGCCCCGGUGUACGGUGCACCGGCGUCCGUAAUUUGAAUCUGCUCCGUCGCGGGCGCCUGUGGGGAGAUGGUAAUAGAAGAGGGGAGCCCGGGCCCUUCAAAGCCCGCAGGUGACAAGUUCCCCCGGCAGCGGGAGAAGAAGGACAAGCAGCAGGACAAAAAACAGGACAAACAGCAGGACAAGCAGCAGGCCUGCGAGGGAUUCAGUAUUAGAGCCAUGAUGAAAAACAGCGUGGUAAGAGGGCCCCCACCUGCAGGAUCAGUAAAAGAAAGACCAGCAAAACGCACAGCUUUUCGCAAGUUUUAUGACAGAGGAGACUUUCCAAUUGCUGUUCAGCAUGACUGUGUAGGAAACAAAAUUGCCUGGAAGGUAGAGAUUGAAAAUCUGGACUAUCAUUACUUUCUGCCUUUGUUCUUUGAUGGGCUUUGUGAAACAGAAUUUCCAUAUGAGUUUUUUGCUCGUCAAGGAUGCCAUGAUAUGCUGGAACAUGGUGGAAACAAGAUUCUUCCUGUUGUUCCUCAGCUCAUUAUCCCAAUAAAAAAUGCACUGAACCUUCGUAACCGACAGAUCCUCUGCACCACACUGAAAAUCAUCCAGCACCUGGUGGUGUCAGCUGAAAUGGUGGGGGAGGCCUUGGUGCCCUAUUAUCGGCAAAUUCUCCCAGUCCUAAGCAUCUUUAAGCACAUGAAUGAGAGAACCAAAGCUGGACCCAGCAAGACUGUCCUACAUGGCCCAGGUGCCCUCCUGCUGACGUUCACAUUUCAGCAUGAUGUGGAAAGUGAAAGGGUAAGAUUGAACAUGUUCAUAUUGAAGUUUUGGGUUCCAGCAUUCAUCUGCAGAAGGGUGGUAAGUAAGGGAAAAUGGGCCGCCUUAAGGGCAUGUAGAUCUCUAGAAGAAUUUUUGAAGGGAAGAAUAUUCAGAUACAUGGAGGUAGGAGAAAUUGAAGAAAAUGCUAGAUUUCAGCUUACUGUAGUAGAUUAUGCCAGACUGACUGAUAUCUUUCUUUGAUUAAAUUGAAUUUUAUGUCCUAGAUAAAGGAAAUGCUUAGUUCUCCUGCUUAGGAAAUGCUUCUGGUGAAACUGGAUGACCUGAGAAUUAAAAAGGGAGCUCUGAGAGAGAAAAUUAUUUGGCUGGUGGGGAAAUGACAGUAAGUAAGUUUCAGAGGGGAGGCAAUGGAGUGCAGUUAACAGAGGAGUUUCUGAAGAACCAUCUUCAGGACCUUGGUACAAAAAGGAGAUAAUGACAUUUUCUGCACCCCCUGUAUGAACAGAGAGAAAAGGCUGAUAGCCCUGAGCUGAUCACUGAAUGCUUCUUGUUGAUGGAGGCAGUCAGGCAAUCCCAGUCAGACACUAUAGGUAGAUGCUUACAGUGAGCUGCUCUGAGUACCUUGUUACUGUAAAUGAUAAAUAGACCAAGGUGCAAGGGAGACCAUGAGAUGCCAGCUGCAUUCUCGUGCCUGUUUUCAUAAAUCUAGCCCCCCCAAAAAUUGGCAAAAUCCUUACUAACUUCCAACUGUGAUAAAGCCAAUAAGGGAUCCCAGCUUCUAACCUUACUGCUGUUGGCUCUUACCUGUCUUCAAAGCAAAUUUUUCUGCAUUUCUGUGCGCAGGUAGCAAGAAAUGAAGGAAUGCCAGAGCUGCUUUGCUACGGCUGCAAAGCCUCCUUGAGCAUUAAACUCUUCCACGCAGUCUAGACCUUUGCACUAAAAACUUUAUUCUCUCACCAGAAGAUGUGUACUGACUGCUCUUGUAGGAGAUCUUUACCCUGAGUGAACUCGGGCAAUAACCUGUCCUGUAAACAUGAGGCCAGUCCUACACUUAAGUUUUACACAAACCUUAUUUUGAAAUAGGGUUUAGUCCUGAUGGACUUAGAUGGACAAAAACAACCAAAAUUUUUUUAGUACUGAGGCAGUUUUUACCUUUGAGGAGCUGGGCUUUGUUAAGACAAUCAUGCAACUUCAACUUACAGAUCAAAACGCAGUAUAAAACACUGCUCCAUACCAUCUUCCUUUUUUCUCCUUUUUUUCCUCUCUUCUCAUUAAUUUCAAUCAUGUAAUAAGAAAAGCCCAGUUAUGCUAAUUGAGAUGACUCCUCCUCAAGGGCAUUGUGAAGCAUGAAAUAAUUCUAUUCAUUACUGACAAUGCAGGGACAUGAGUUUUCCCCGGAGGAUCUAUUUCAUCUUGUGAUUUGGUGACCAUACGGAAUGGUGAUUGGAUUAGGGACGUAUUGUUUUAAAACUAAUUGUUUGUCUGGGAGAAGCUGGAAGAUGGUGGGCAAAGAGGAAGCUUAAAAUUCCAGGGAUUGUUUGACUUAGAGGUUCUUGGAGGCUGAUGCAUCUAACGGGUAUUUAUCAGGCAAACCCAGCUGCUGAGCCAUCAUUUGUCCCAGCUGUAAUUUUCUUUUUAAAAGGCAGCUGAGCUGGUGUUUGAAACUUGCCACAGACCAGCAGAGAGCUAAAUCGAUGUCAAGCUGGUCAGAUUCAUUUCUCCUUUUUUAUUUUUGGGAGUCAGAAUUUCAUUUCCCUAAAAUGCAGUAAGUGUUUGGGCAUGAGCUUCCAAGCUGUCCAAAGAUUGUUUUGGAAACAGAGCCACCUUGCUGGGGUUUGUCCUCCCCUGUAACAGGUAGCCCAUAGCCUGCCAAGCAAACACUGCAGUCCUAGAACACAAACACUGGUGAUUCUAGCUGAGAGAAAAAACCAAUCUUUUAUUUUUCUUCUUUUUUCUUUUUGCUGAGCUAUCAAAAAAGGCAUCUAUUUGUACUUUUGCUGCAUUUGCAACAUUUUCAUUAGCAAAGGGCUGGUGUGGUUUUUUUUCAAUCAGACUGCUUUUCUGUGAGGAAGUGAACCUCCUGACACUAUGUCAUUUCCCUUGUUUCCAAACAGCUUCUUGUCUGAGCACACAGCCUCCACUUAACAUCUGGCUGUAAAAGAGCAGGGAACUUUCUGCCAACCAUUCCUCUGCUCUUUCCCUUGCUGUUCUUAGAUGAUGUUAUCAAAUAUUUACUGCAGCUUUAAUUUUGUUGGAUUAAUGCAUGUUUUUGGUUAUUGUUCCUUCCAUGGAUAUAUUUACAGGUUUGGUGACAGCCUUCUUUAGCACUGAAGAGUAGGUCCAAGCCAGCCAUGCCCCACUUGCAUGGGUGUGUUCAUUAGCUAAGUGCAAAAUACUGAUGUGCGUCAGACACGGACAUUGUUCCAUCUCUUAGGCAGCUUCUGAUGAGGAUUACUCAUGAAAAAUAAUCAGUAAAAUACGUUGCAGAUGGAGGCUAUGACAGGAGAGAUAACCCUGCCAUUAAAGGUCUCAUAAUGCAGAAAUGGAAAUGUGGAUAAGGUCUUUUAACAGAGUCAAUAGAGAUCAAUACAAAGGCAAUAACUCAAGAAAUGGGUGCAUUAACCAGAGAGCAAGAACCAACAUACUCCAAAGUUAAACCAUGUCUCUGGAAUUAGAUGUACUGAGGGAAUACACACCAGAUUACUAAAAGCAAUAGAAAUCAUAAACAAAAAACGGAAACAAAAAUAAUUGCACUUUUAUUUUUUUAAUCCUGUCAUAUGGUAGAAACUGAGAUUUGUGAGAGGCACGGGAGUAAAUUAGCUUUAUGAUCAGGAGUGAACAACCUAUUUGCUCUUUGGGUUAUCUACAAGCCAGCCAUCUGUAAGAGGAUGUGGCUGACUUGAUGGAAGAGGAGCAACAACAGCCAGGGAUCAGUCACCUUCUCCAGGCUACCCUGUGCUGAGAAGAACACAGGCUUUCCUGUUGCACACAAGUAAAGGCUGGGAAUACAUGUUUUGUACUUCUACCCACAUGUUUUCAGAAAGAACAGCCCCAAAACAAAAAGUGACAAAACACUGAAACACUUGCAGGUUUGACAAGCAUUUUGGAAAGGUCUGUGCAGUUGGAAGAAUGACAUAAUACCAAGCUAAUAUGCAUGUGAGUGAGCUGAAAUCCCCACUGGAAGAACUGUGGAAAAAAGCACAAAGGGAGGGGAAAAUACCCAGUAAAUGUGGCAUCUGACAAGUGCAGCUGCUGCCACUGUAGGUAUCCUGUGCCUACAACAGAACUGCUAAAAAUAGUGUUUGGUAGGAGUCUAGCCUGGGAUUUGGAGUCAGACGCUGGCUUUAUGCAGCUCCCACAGUAAUUGCUGGGAAUGUCGGUGUUUAGCAAUGCUGGAAAGACCCCAGCAGGCUAUAAUCGAGUCUAACUACACUCAGCGCGUGAUCUUUUCUGGCUUUUACCUUGUCAAAGAAUAGACUGAAAGCCAGAGUUACCUGGAGAGCAUGUUUGCAUUCCUCAGCCUUGUUAUCACACCAAGACUGCUCUUUCCAUGCCUUGCCCAUUGCACUGCACUUCCCCAUGGUUUGGGAAGGUGGUGCUGAGCAGGGCAGUGGUGCCACCAGGGACCGUGGGGUGCAGCAGGCUGGCACUGCGUGCUGCAGAGAGGAGGAGGAUCCAAAACAUCUCCUUAACUCGGAGCUGCCUUCUACUGUGACUGAAAGCAAAGGCUGUGGGAGUGCAUUUGUUCCACCUGCCCUGCUGGCAGGGGUUGCUGUUCCUGGGGACUGACAGAGAUCCCAGCUAGGACCCUGGUGUAGGGAAACCCUAAGAUGUUCUUCCAUCCCUGUAAUUUUCCAGCCCACUGUUGGGGAUAUCUGGGAGUGUAUGUUUGAUCAGUGGGAGACCCCACAAGAAAACAGAAGGGGUAGAAGCUAAAACACUGAAAUCAGAUUCUAGAGAUGCAACUACACCUUUGAAUACUCACUUCGCUGCCAUAGAGCAAGGAGGAAAAUCUUAGUAAGAGACACUUGAACUUCUAAAGAAUCAUCUCUUGGCAAUAAUGACCUCUCAUGCAUAUUUAUGUACAGCACUUAGUUUUAUAAUGGACACUUGAAAGACAUUUAAUUCCAUUUUUUUUGCCUAGGAAUGAAGCUAUGUGGAGUGUGGCAAAAGUGUUUCAAGGUCCAAAUACUAAACUACAGAAAUGGUCCUGGUAUUUCCUGCAUGCCAGCCGAAAAUUAUGUUCUGGGAGUAUACUGUUAAAGAAUUUGUGUACUUGAUGAAGUUCCCUAAGAUGCCAAACCCAGGUGAGAAUUCACAUGACCAUGCUGAACACGGUGCUGUCACCAGGAAGCUGCAGAAGGCAAGAUCCCAUUUCUGACCUCUCAGUUUGUGUUUCAUGCCAAAGGUAAGAACAGAUGCAAAACAUCUUUAGAUUGGGAGAUCUGUCGUUAAAUUUAUUUUCUAAUUCACUGCUAAAGCUUAAAGCACCCAAUACAUUUUACUGCUAAUGUAGCCUGUGAAUGAAGAUACCAACACCCAGAAGCUGUUUCUCAAGUCUCAAAGCCAAUUAUUCUAAAAACAAAGCCUUUGUUGUGUUUGACUAAAGCUAAAUAAAUUUGAAAUUCAGAUUUCUUUUGAAAAGAAUGGUCUGCUAAUUGGUGUUGAGUUUUAAAUGUUUGAGCUUGUUUAUUUUUCUCACUUCCUUGAAUGAUGUUUCAGAAACGUUCCUGUUAUUACAGUCUAUUAAGUCAGACUUAUCAAAAAGGAAACAUUUAUUGAUAUCUUGAGAGAUGUGAGUGUCUAAUUAAGGUUGUACUGUGCAUAUUUUAUAUUAAAUGUUUCCUGCAAUUUGACUUUAAUCAGGUCUGAAGGGCCUUAACAAGUGUUUGGCUCAAUCACUUAUAUUUUGCUCCUUUCCCUGGACCAGGAGAGAAGGUUCUGUAUCGGUUUGCAAAGUCCCAUAAUUUACCAUCAGGUAGCCUGGAAUAUUUGUAGAUUGCCAUUUUGAUGUGUGAUUAGACAGCUACUUUGCAUAUUUUGUGGCUAUUUCACCCAGCUUUACUUGGAAUUAUGAUUAUUAGAAGAGUUGAAAAAAUAUUUUUUUUUGUUUUCUGAAUUCCUAGUUUCCAAUUUGUGAGGUUGGUUUUCUUUGCCUUGUGCAAGGUCCCUGUUUGUGCACGUACUAUUAUUGUCUGCUGUUUCCUUAAAUUUCUUUCUUGUUUUGUGUGCAGAUACCAGUGUUAGAGGGAAAUUCACUACCAAGAUGUAACCAUUAAAAUACCUGUCUCUGGCAUGGGUUCCAUUUUUCUUGUGCUAUCCCUUAUCUCUAUUCUAAACUUCAGCCUUCAUUAAAUAGGGUGUUGUGGUGCUAUCAUUUAAAUGAUAUGGUAUGUAACCUGAUCUUAAAAGAUAAUAAAAAUAUUAUCAGAGAAUA